rnacentral:ncRNA from 16 species
UUUUAGAAAUGAAAAAAUGGACUUUUGACGAGGCUAAAGAAAUCUUUAGCUUUUCGUUUAUGGAGCUGGUCUAUCAAGCUCAAACAAUACAUCGUGCUAAUUUUGAUCCUAAUAAGAUCCAAAUCAGCAGCCUCUUAAGCAUUAAAACAGGUAGUUGUCCUGAAAAUUGUAAAUUCUGUCCUCAAUCUUCUCACUAUAAAACUUAUGUAAAAAAAGAGCCUUUAAUGCAAAUUGAGGAUGUAAUUACGGCAGCAAAACGUGCUAAAGCAGCAGGUAGUACUCGCUUUUGUAUGGGAGCUGCGUGGCGUGGUCCACGUGAUGAGGAUUUAAAACUGGUUUGCGAGAUGAUUAAGG